rnacentral:rRNA from 1 species
UACGUAUGGUGCGAGCGUUAUCCGGAUUUACUGGGUGUAAAGGGAGCGCAGGCGGCACGGCAAGCCUGAUGUGAAAGCCCGCGGCCCAACCGCGGGACUGCAUUGGGAACUACCGGGCUGGAGUGCCGGAGAGGUAGGCGGAAUUCCUAGUGUAGCGGUGAAAUGCGUAGAUAUUAGGAGGAACACCAGUGGCGAAGGCGGCCUACUGGACGGUGACUGACGCUGAGGCUCGAGAGCGUGGGGAGCAAACAGG